ensembl:lncRNA
GGGAUCGCGGGCAGCGCUUACACUCAAUCACCAAUUCAAGCUCCUCCGACAGCACGCUAAACUGAGGGCAUAAUGUGUCCACUUGGGCUAAAAGCCGGUGUUAAAUUGCAGCGCAGUAGCAUCUGCCUAAUAGAUAUUGCAGUCUGAACACAAAUGGGCUUCUCUUAAGUGUAUGCUGUAUCAGUUCUCUCCGCUCACAGUUUCCUGCCAUUGAUCAAGCCCCACCUAUUCAGCUGAUGGGCCAGAGUAGAAACUCGAUCACCUAACAAGAAAGAAGCAGAGGAGAGAGGAAGGAGAAAUAGAGAGAAAUGCUGAAACCUGGACAUCCUAGAACUUGAAGGGAUUCUGCACAGCACUGCGACUAAUACACGGUUUCCGGAGCAAUUGGGUUCAGCAUCUCUUAAAGGUCAGAUUUUGUCAUCAGCUCAUGGAUUCUAGUUGUUUGCUGUUUGCAAUUGGUGUAUUUCCAGCCACCCACACAAGCUUGUCCGUUCUCUUACCCAGCAGCCCUCAGUCCUCCG